GAUCAGUGGCGAACGGGUGAGUAACACGUGAGUAACCUGCCCCGGACUCUGGAAUAAGCGCUGGAAACGGCGUCUAAUACCGGAUACGAGACGCAACCGCAUGGUUAGUGUCUGGAAAGUUUUUCGGUCUGGGAUGGACUCGCGGCCUAUCAGCUUGUUGGUGAGGUAAUGGCUCACCAAGGCGACGACGGGUAGCCGGCCUGAGAGGGCGACCGGCCACACUGGGACUGAGACACGGCCCAGACUCCUACGGGAGGCAGCAGUGGGGAAUAUUGCACAAUGGGCGAAAGCCUGAUGCAGCGACGCCGCGUGAGGGAUGACGGCCUUCGGGUUGUAAACCUCUUUCAGCAGGGAAGAAGCGAAAGUGACGGUACCUGCAGAAGAAGCACCGGCUAACUACGUGCCAGCAGCCGCGGUAAUACGUAGGGUGCGAGCGUUGUCCGGAAUUAUUGGGCGUAAAGAGCUUGUAGGCGGUUUGUCGCGUCUGCUGUGAAAAUCCGGGGCUCAACCCCGGACUUGCAGUGGGUACGGGCAGACUAGAGUGUGGUAGGGGAGACUGGAAUUCCUGGUGUAGCGGUGAAAUGCGCAGAUAUCAGGAGGA
rnacentral:rRNA from 1 species